GUGGGGCAUGGUGGCAUGUGUCUGUAGUCCUAGCUAUUCGUGAGGCUGAGGCUGGAGGAUCGCUUGAGCCCAGGAGUUCUGGGCUGUAGUGCGCUAUGCUGAUCGGGUGUCUGCACUAAGUUCGGCAUCAAUAUGGUGACCUCCCGGGAGCAGGGGACCACCUGGUUGCCUAAGGAGGGGUGACCCGGCCCAAGUCGGAAACGGAGCAGGUCAAAACUCCCGUGCUGAUCAGUAGUGGGAUCGCGCCUGUGAAUAGCCCCUGCACUCCAGCCUGGGCAACGUAGUGAGACCCCCACCUCU
rnacentral:SRP_RNA from 1 species